GACGAACGCUGGCGGCGUGCUUAACACAUGCAAGUCGAACGGUGAAGCGCCUUCCUUUUUGGUGGGUGUGGAUGAGUGGCGAACGGGUGAGUAACACGUGAGUAACCUGCCCCCUUCUUCUGGAUAACCGCAUGAAAGUGUGGCUAAUACGGGAUAUUCUGGGUCUGUCGCAUGAUGGGUCUGGGAAAGAUAUUGUUUCGGUGGGGGAUGGGCUCGCGGCCUAUCAGCUUGUUGGUGGGGUGAUGGCCUACCAAGGCGGUGACGGGUAGCCGGCACGAGAGGGUGGACGGUCACACUGGGACUGAGACACGGCCCAGACUCCUACGGGAGGCAGCAGUGGGGAAUAUUGCACAAUGGGCGCAAGCCUGAUGCAGCGACGCCGCGUGAGGGAUGGAGGCCUUCGGGUUGUGAACCUCUUUCGCCAGUGAAGCAGGCCUGCCUCGUUUGUGGGUGGGUUGACGGUAGCUGGAGAAGAAGCGCCGGCUAACUACGUG
rnacentral:rRNA from 1 species